rnacentral:rRNA from 1 species
UACGUAGGGUGCAAGCGUUGUCCGGAAUUAUUGGGCGUAAAGAGCUCGUAGGCGGUCUGUCGCGUCGGCUGUGAAAACCCGAGGCUCAACCUCGGGCCUGCAGUCGAUACGGGCAAACUAGAGUACUGCAGGGGAGACUGGAAUUCCUGGUGUAGCGGUGAAAUGCGCAGAUAUCAGGAGGAACACCGGUGGCGAAGGCGGGUCUCUGGGCCGUAACUGACGCUGGAGGAGCGAAAGCGUGGGGAGCGAACAGG